ensembl:lncRNA
CUAGGAUAUACUAGGAUGUCACGUUUAGAGAAACAAAAAGAACGUGCCAGCAUUCAUAAGCAUUUGAAGAACAGUGUGAAUCCCCCUCCUGUUUGCUUUAAGGCUUUAGUGUUGAUGAUGUAAGUCAGGAGGAUUAGCAGCUGGGAGAUGAAGCAGGUGAAAGUACCAGCCAGGCACUGUGAGCUGAUCAUAAUGGUGGUGAAACCAAGGGCAUCCAGUCCACUGUGCAGUACCGUUGUGGUCUGGGCCUUCUGAGGGGACUAUAGGAGCAGUGCUUGGGGUGCAGGUGGAGCAGGUUUAUAAGGAGAAAACAUCAAUAUGGUCUGUCUAGCACAUGCCUCACCACCACCUAUGCUAGUGCUAUAAAAGAUGUGAUUUCCCAUGACUACAACACCAAGUUCAAUUCCAAUUCAGUCCCAAGCACUAGGCAGAAUGGUGGUAAUCACAUUAGCACACCGACCCUACAGUUGGGUUGCAAGUUCAUGUUUCUUACCUGGGGCAGCUGGUCUUCUUUGCAACAUAGUAAGUAGAAUGGGAAACAUCUGGUCUUGUCAUUAGCCUUGGGCCCAUUGUUACCUCCCCUGCAGGAGCCACUUGCCAUGGCUUUCCCCCUGCACUGUUGAGGGCACUGCCACAGUUAUUGCCUCUACUCUUGCCAAGGCUCUCUAAAGCAUGACUGGGAGUUAUACUUCCUUCAUGACAUGAUGGAGGUUAAUGCAGGCUUCAAACCUUCAUGGAUGAAUCAAACAGCUGAGCAGAAAAAGCCGACAUAAAUAUUUGCAGUCCUAGCAGAGUUUGCGUGGGAAGAAGAAUGCGUAGAAGAUGAUGCAGUAGAAACGAUAUAUGGACAAAGACUUCAAGAAAGAAAAUGAGUUCUUUGUUGAAGUUGCUGGAUGGAUAUUCCUUUUUAUCUUCACAAGUCCUGGAGGAACAGCAGUGGAUUCCCUGCCUUAUUUCAUCUCCUGGUCUGAUCCAUUAUGUCAACCUUAUGCAUAAGAAGCAGCUCUGUUUCAUCAUUACCAUCCUUUUCUGUUGAAAUUCUACAUCGUUAGGAGUGGUUAGCCAUUGAGUAGAACAGUAUCUACUUGCUACAAAGCACUUGAAUAUGGUCUGCUCAAAUGGAAUACGUAGAAAAAUCCUCUUGUCAGAAUGACUACAAAAAUGUUGACUUUUAAAGCCAUUCUGGAUUUCAAAUACAACCUUACAGCUACAAUGCAAUAACCAACAACUUCUUCCACACUAGCAGGAAAUUAUGCGGUGCUGGUGGUUCUGGCAUGUUUAACAUGAACUUCCCCUGGCAAGUUGUCAGAGAGCAAUUCUCGAAGAGCCCAUGAAGACUGAUCUGCCUGUUUUCCUGGUGCAGUUACACCUCUAGCCCCAG